GGCAACUUGGCCGAGUGGUUAUGGCGCUAGUUUCAGGUCUUUGCCAACUUACCUACUAGUUCGAAAGAGCGAGGGUUCGAAUCCCUCAGUUGUCA